UACGAGAGGUGCAAGCGUUAUUCGGAAUCAUUGGGCGUAAAGGGUGCGUAGACGGUAAAGUAAGUUUGUUGUUAAAAUUCCUGGCCUAACUGGGAGUCUGCAAUAAAUACUGUUUUGCUAGAGGGUGAGAGAGAGAAGUGGAAUUCUUGGAGUAGCGGUCAAAUGCGUAGAUCUCAAGAGGAACACCGAUGGCGAAGGCAGCUUCUUGGCUCAUUUCUGACGUUGAUGCACGAAAGCGUGGGGAGCAAACAGG
rnacentral:rRNA from 1 species